rnacentral:rRNA from 1 species
CGACGGAGUUUGAUCCUGGCUCAGAGUGAACGCUGGCGGUAGGCCUAACACAUGCAAGUCGAACGGCAGCACAGUAAGAGCUUGCUCUUAUGGGUGGCGAGUGGCGGACGGGUGAGGAAUACAUCGGAAUCUACCUUUUCGUGGGGGAUAACGUAGGGAAGCUUACGCUAAUACCGCAUACGACCUUCGGGUGAAAGCAGGGGACCUUCGGGCCUUGCGCGGAUAGAUGAGCCGAUGUCGGAUUAGCUAGUUGGCGGGGUAAAGGCCCACCAAGGCGACGAUCCGUAGCUGGUCUGAGAGGAUGAUCAGCCACACUGGAACUGAGACACGGUCCAGACUCCUACGGGAGGCAGCAGUGGGGAAUAUUGGACAAUGGGCGCAAGCCUGAUCCAGCCAUACCGCGUGGGUGAAGAAGGCCUUCGGGUUGUAAAGCCCUUUUGUUGGGAAAGAAAAGCAAUCGGCUAAUACCCGGUUGUUCUGACGGUACCCAAAGAAUAAGCACCGGCUAACUUCGUGCCAGCAGCCGCGGUAAUACGAAGGGUGCAAACGUUACUCGGAAUUACUGGGCGUAAAGCGUGCGUAGGUGGUUGUUUAAGUCUGUUGUGAAAGCCCUGGGCUCAACCUGGGAAUUGCAGUGGAUACUGGGCGACUAGAGUGUGGUAGAGGGUAGUGGAAUUCCCGGUGUAGCAGUGAAAUGCGUAGAGAUCGGGAGGAACAUCCAUGGCGAAGGCAGCUACCUGGACCAACACUGACACUGAGGCACGAAAGCGUGGGGAGCAAACAGGAUUAGAUACCCUGGUAGUCCACGCCCUAAACGAUGCGAACUGGAUGUUGGGUGCAAUUUGGCACGCAGUAUCGAAGCUAACGCGUUAAGUUCGCCGCCUGGGGAGUACGGUCGCAAGACUGAAACUCAAAGGAAUUGACGGGGCCCGCACAGCGGUGGAGUAUGUGGUUUAAUUCGAUGCAACGCGAAGAACCUUACCUGGUCUUGACAUGUCGAGAACUUUCCAGAG